rnacentral:rRNA from 1 species
UACGUAGGGGGCAAGCGUUAUCCGGAUUUACUGGGUGUAAAGGGAGCGUAGACGGCGUAUCAAGUCUGAUGUGAAAGGCAUGGGCUCAACCCGUGGACUGCAUUUGAAACUGUUUUUCUUGAGUACCGGAGAGGUCAUCGGAAUUCCUUGUGUAGCGGUGAAAUGCGUAGAUAUCAGGAGGAACACCGGUGGCGAAGGCGGCCAACUGGGCUUUAACUGACGCUGAGGCUCGAAAGUGUGGGGAGCAA